UACGUAGGGUGCAAGCGUUGUCCGGAAUUAUUGGGCGUAAAGAGCUCGUAGGCGGUUUGUCGCGUCGGAUGUGAAACCCCGGGGCUUAACCCCGGGCCUGCAUUCGAUACGGGCUGACUAGAGUUCGGCAGGGGAGCGUGGAAUUCCUGGUGUAGCGGUGAAAUGCGCAGAUAUCAGGAGGAACACCGGUGGCGAAGGCGGGUCUCUGGACCGAUACUGACGCUGAGGAGCGAAAGCGUGGGGAGCAAACAGG
rnacentral:rRNA from 1 species